CACGAUCCUUUUCUCCAGAGGUGACUGUUGACCUACAUCAAUUCUAGGGUCUUUAGAUGCAUUCACCCAAGCCAAU
rnacentral:lncRNA from 1 species